UACGUAGGGUGCAAGCGUUGUCCGGAAUUAUUGGGCGUAAAGAGCUCGUAGGCGGUCUGUCGCGUCUGCUGUGAAAACCCGAGGCUCAACCUCGGGCCUGCAGUGGGUACGGGCAGACUAGAGUGCGGUAGGGGAGAUUGGAAUUCCUGGUGUAGCGGUGAAAUGCGCAGAUAUCAGGAGGAACACCAGUGGCGAAGGCGGUGCUCUGGGCCGGAACUGACGCUGAGGAGCGAAAGCGUGGGGAGCAAACAGG
rnacentral:rRNA from 1 species